rnacentral:rRNA from 1 species
GACGAACGCUGGCGGCGUGCUUAACACAUGCAAGUCGAACGGAAAGGCCCUGCUUUUGUGGGGUGCUCGAGUGGCGAACGGGUGAGUAACACGUGAGUAACCUGCCCUUGACUUUGGGAUAACUUCAGGAAACUGGGGCUAAUACCGGAUAGGAGCUCCUGCUGCAUGGUGGGGGUUGGAAAGUUUCGGCGGUUGGGGAUGGACUCGCGGCUUAUCAGCUUGUUGGUGGGGUAGUGGCUUACCAAGGCUUUGACGGGUAGCCGGCCUGAGAGGGUGACCGGCCACAUUGGGACUGAGAUACGGCCCAGACGCCUACGGGAGGCAGCAGUGGGGAAUAUUGCACAAUGGGCGGAAGCCUGAUGCAGCAACGCCGCGGGCGGGAUGACGGCCUUCGGGUUGUAAACCGCUUUCGCCUGUGACGAAGCGUGAGUGACGGUAAUGGGUAAAGAAGCACCGGCUAACUACGUG